AGCGAACGCUGGCGGCAGGCUUAACACAUGCAAGUCGAGCGGGCACUUCGGUGUCAGCGGCAGACGGGUGAGUAACACGUGGGAACGUACCCUUCGGUUCGGAAUAACGCUGGGAAACUAGCGCUAAUACCGGAUACGCCCUUUUGGGGAAAGGUUUACUGCCGAAGGAUCGGCCCGCGUCUGAUUAGCUAGUUGGUGGGGUAAUGGCCUACCAAGGCGACGAUCAGUAGCUGGUCUGAGAGGAUGAUCAGCCACACUGGGACUGAGACACGGCCCAGACUCCUACGGGAGGCAGCAGUGGGGAAUAUUGGACAAUGGGCGCAAGCCUGAUCCAGCCAUGCCGCGUGAGUGAUGAAGGCCUUAGGGUUGUAAUGCUCUUUUGUCCGGGACGAUAAUGACGGUACCGGAAGAAUAAGCCCCGGCUAACUUCGUG
rnacentral:rRNA from 1 species